rnacentral:rRNA from 1 species
AACGCUAGCUACAGGCUUAACACAUGCAAGUCGAGGGGCAGCGGGAUUGAAGCUUGCUUCAAUUGCCGGCGACCGGCGCACGGGUGAGUAACACGUAUCCAACCUUCCGUUUACUCGGGGAUAGCCUUUCGAAAGAAAGAUUAAUACCCGAUAGUAUGGUGAGAUUGCAUGAUAACACCAUUAAAGAUUUAUUGGUAAACGAUGGGGAUGCGUUCCAUUAGGUAGUAGGCGGGGUAACGGCCCACCUAGCCUACGAUGGAUAGGGGUUCUGAGAGGAAGGUCCCCCACAUUGGAACUGAGACACGGUCCAAACUCCUACGGGAGGCAGCAGUGAGGAAUAUUGGUCAAUGGGCGAGAGCCUGAACCAGCCAAGUAGCGUGAAGGAUGAAGGUCCUACGGAUUGUAAACUUCUUUUAUAAGGGAAUAAAACGCUCCACGUGUGGAGCCUUGUAUGUACCUUAUGAAUAAGCAUCGGCUAACUCCGUGCCAGCAGCCGCGGUAAUACGGAGGAUGCGAGCGUUAUCCGGAUUUAUUGGGUUUAAAGGGAGCGUAGACGGGUCGUUAAGUCAGCUGUGAAAGUUUGAGGCUCAACCUUAAAAUUGCAGUUGAUACUGGCGUCCUUGAGUACGGUUGAGGCAGGCGGAAUUCGUGGUGUAGCGGUGAAAUGCAUAGAUAUCACGAAGAACUCCGAUUG